CCUACGGGGGGCAGCAGUGGGGAAUAUUGGACAAUGGGGGCAACCCUGAUCCAGCCAUGCCGCGUGUGUGAAGAAGGCCCUCGGGUUGUAAAGCACUUUCAGUGAGGAAGAACGCCUGGUGGUUAAUACCCAUCAGGAAAGACAUCACUCACAGAAGAAGCACCGGCUAACUCCGUGCCAGCAGCCGCGGUAAUACGGAGGGUGCGAGCGUUAAUCGGAAUUACUGGGCGUAAAGUGCGCGUAGGUGGCUUGAUAAGCCGGUUGUGAAAGCCCCGGGCUCAACCUGGGAACGGCAUCCGGAACUGUCAAGCUAGAGUGCAGGAGAGGAAGGUAGAAUUCCCGGUGUAGCGGUGAAAUGCGUAGAGAUCGGGAGGAAUACCAGUGGCGAAGGCGGCCUUCUGGACUGACACUGACACUGAGGUGCGAAAGCGUGGGUAGCAAACAGGAUUAGAUACCCGGGUAGUC
rnacentral:rRNA from 1 species